GACGAACGCUGGCGGCGUGCUUAACACAUGCAAGUCGAACGGAAAGGCCCUGCUUUUGUGGGGUGCUCGAGUGGCGAACGGGUGAGUAACACGUGAGUAACCUGCCCUUGACUUUGGGAUAACUUCAGGAAACUGGGGCUAAUACCGGAUAGGAGCUCCUGCUGCAUGGUGGGGGUUGGAAAGUUUCGGCGGUUGGGGAUGGACUCGCGGCUUAUCAGCUUGUUGGUGGGGUAGUGGCUUACCAAGGCUUUGACGGGUAGCCGGCCUGAGAGGGAGACCGGCCACAUUGGGACUGAGAUACGGCCCAGACUCCUACGGGAGGCAGCAGUGGGGAAUAUUGCACAAUGGGCGGAAGCCUGAUGCAGCAACGCCGCGUGCGGGAUGACGGCCUUCGGGUUGUAAACCGCUUUCGCCUGUGACGAAGCGUGAGUGACGGUAAUGGGUAAAGAAGCACCGGCUAACUACGUG
rnacentral:rRNA from 1 species